CCCUUAGAUGUUCUGGGCCGCACGCGCGCUACAAUGAUGAAUUCAACGAGUUUAUAACCUUGGUUGAAAAGCCUGGGUAAUCUUUUGAACUUUCGUCGUGAUGGGGCUAGACCCUUGCAAUUAUUGGUCUCCAACGAGGAAUUCCUAGUAAACGUAAGUCAUCAGCUUGCAUUGAUUACGUCCCUGCCCUUUGUACACACCGCCCGUCGCACCUACCGAUUGAAUGGUCCGGUGAAAUCUUCGGAUUGAGACUUUGAUUUCUUCACGGAAAACGCUGUUUUAAAAAGUUGAUUAAACCUUACCAUUUAGAGGAAGGUGAAGUCGUAACA
rnacentral:rRNA from 1 species